CUGACUCCUUAGAAGGAAAGUAAAGUGAAAUAGAGAAGCAGAGCAGAACGUGUGCUGUACAUGUUUUUCAGAUAUCUCAUGUACGAAUAUAAAGAAUGGUCACAACACCAAACAAACGGAUGAAGUUGAGGAAUUGUGGAUGAAUCUGCAAGUUCAACAUGGAAUUGAAUAUUUCGCACAUGGAGAUUUUUUUUGUGGGCAACGGAAUUGGCCUAGCCUGCACCCUAAGCCUGACUCCAUAUUGCCGCCAGGUGUAGGCUGACUGCGGUAUGGACAUCGAACUGGUCAACACCAUAGACAGAAGUCCUCCACCGACGUGAGGAGGACUGCAGCACCCGAGGUACGGUCAGUCGCUGCCGCCAGCUCGGUGAGUUCACUGCCCUUCUCUCAGUGUGUGUGUGUGUGUGUGUGAUUUAUACAAGAGCUGACGUGACCUGAUCAUGACAUAUCUGUAUGAUAGCAGUGACAGUGUUGCUCGUUUUUUUUUCAUACGUUUUAUUCUCUAAAACCUCAUCGCGGAUAUGCAAAUGUCUCUUCUGCAGCAGUUUAUAUCAGUGAACAGAAAGACGGGUGCUCGAUUCAUAUUAUGUCUGAUGUGUGUGUGUGUGUGGCCGGUGUGAGGGGUCUGUGUGUGGCACCUUCUUCUCCACGCAUGUCUUGCGCAUGUGUGUUUGCGCCUGAGAUCCGAUGUCUUUGUGUGCAGUCCAUGCUGAUGGGCGUGUGUGUAACUAUGUUGUGUGGCUUUAAAGUAUCCCAUCGCAGUAAAUGUCGAAGGGAUGCCGAAUUAGAGACGGUGGGGGAAAGAAGGAUGGGACAUCAGAAUGGCGAUCGCUCGGUUCUCCGCACCACACCGUGCCCCUCUCCUUCCCUGAGACCCUAACUUGUGACGUUCUGCUUCGAUGUCCACGGGUUGGGUUCUCGGGAGCUGUGAGAGGCACUCAGUCGUCCACCCAUCCAGGAGGAACCAGAGGAGAGGACGGCGAGAGAGAUCGUUGAAGCAGGUUGAGUGGGGAAGGAAGGGCGAACAGGAAGAGAGACACGAGAUGGGGAUGAGUGGGGUGAAGGUGGUGCAGUGUGGGCCUAUGGAUUCAAGAGUUUAAAGGAUGGAAGGUGAAGAAAGAGAGCAUGAGAGAUCUGGGUUUUUAGGUUGGGGUGACGCUGGGCCACCGAGGGUUUGGCCCAAACAAAGUGUAUGUUUAGACUGUGACUCAGGACACUGAAAUGGCUGUGUGUGUGCAUGUCUGUGCCACAGCAUCUGCUACGCCCUCGUUCCGCACCCAUAUUUGUGUGCAUUUUUUAAAAUCCAAAUUCUUCUUUCCUUACAGGAAAUCCUCAUAGGUGGACAUAUACGGUGACUUCGGGUUCAUUUAUGCAUGCAUGCGUGCUUUAUCCGAAAAUUUGAGAGCAGCACAAAGUACUAUUGAGAGCGUUUCAUCGAUAGCUCGGUACGAUUGUGUUUGACCUCAUACAAACCUUCCUCGACAUUAAAAAUAAACGCAUGUGUUUUCCACCAUUGGCUAUAUUUUUCCUGAGUGUGUAUGGGGUGCGACUUGUUGAUCGACAUGGUGAUUUGUUGAUAUAAAUAUAGCGAACGAUGUAUACAGCAACGUAUGUUUCAUUAGUGUGCUGCCUGCAGGAUGUUUAUGGCAUAAAAUAGACAGGUACCUUGUGUGUGGCUGCAGCAGAAGCGCAUUGUGUGUGUAUGCAGCAGCAUAUGUGUUCAUACAGACAUCGUGAGUGAGACAGCCAGCCGUCUCUCUGCUGGUGCUCCAAAUCUCGCUCAUCUCCCUCACUCUUCAGUGGUGCUCAGAGUCAAACAGAGGCUACGCCGUUUCCAAUGGGAGCAUGAGUAAAUCCUGGUCUCAAACAGUCGUGCAGGGUAGAUUUUUAUCUGGAAGGCUGACUCUGGUGGGGAUUAUGAUGUUUGCUUGUUUUGAAUCCACCUUAUAUUUGUGCAUGUUACCCAUGAAGUGAAGAAAAGCAGCAUAAAGCUAUGGUUUCUGUCUUUAUGCUUUCUCUUACUCCGGUAGUAUUUGUCAGUCAGCGUAGAGCGAUGCAUAAUGAUGCGUUUGUUUUUUUUAAAGAUUGGUUGCCCUAUUAAGCUGCUAAAAAGGUCAUUUAAGGGGAGUUGCAAUCAGCAAAAUGAACAACUCAUUCCUUGACAUCAUUAAGUGGCUCAUUAAACUCAAUUUGAACUCUAACUGGAAUACU